rnacentral:rRNA from 1 species
AUUGAACGCUGGCGGCAUGCCUAACACAUGCAAGUCGAGCGAGCGGCGGACGGGUGAGUACUGUCUGGUAAACUGUCUGAUGGCUGGGGAUAACCACUGGAAACGGUAUCUAAUACCGCAUAACAUCCGCUGUGCCCCGUUGGGAUUAGCUAGUAGGUGGGGUAACGGCUCACCUAGGCGACGAUCCAUAGCGGGUCUGAGAGGAGGACCAGCCACACUGGAACUGAGACACGGUCCAGACUCCUACGGGAGGCAGCAGUGGGGAAUAUUGCACAAUGGGCGAAAGCCUGAUGCAGCCAUGCCGCGUGUGUGAAGAAGGCCUUCGGGUUGUAAAGCACUUUCAGCGGGGAGGCGUUACCCGCAGAAGAAGCACCGGCUAACUCCGUGCCAGCAGCCGCGGUAAUUC